UACGUAGGCAGCAAGCGUUGUUCGGAAUUAUUGGGCGUAAAGAGCGUGUAGGCGGCCAGGUAGGUCGGUUGUGAAAACUGGAGGCUCAACCUUCAGACGUCGACCGAAAUCCCCUGGCUAGAGUCCGGGAGAGGAGAGUGGAAUUCCUGGUGUAGCGGUGAAAUGCGCAGAUAUCAGGAAGAACACCCGUGGCGAAAGCGGCUCUCUGGAACGGUACUGACGCUGAGACGCGAAAGCGUGGGGAGCGAACAGG
rnacentral:rRNA from 1 species